rnacentral:rRNA from 1 species
UAACUCUUGUUAAUUGCAGAGCUAAUACUUGAAUUUACUAUAAUCUAUAUGAUUAUAGCGUAAUAAAGCAAUUUAUUACAUAGGAAUAGCUUUUUGAGAAGAAGGUUAAAUUGAGAAUUGAUGAAACUUAAAUGUUUUUACAAGUAACUGUUUUAAAUAUCUGACCUAUCAACUUGAAGGUAUGAUAGAGGCAUACCUAAGUGAUAACGGGUAACGAGAAAUAAGGGUUUGAUUUCGGAGAGGGAGCUUUAAAAAUGGCUACCACUUCUAAGGAAGGCAGCAGGCGCGCAAAUU